rnacentral:rRNA from 1 species
UACGUAGGGUGCGAGCGUUGUCCGGAAUUAUUGGGCGUAAAGAGCUUGUAGGCGGUUUGUCGCGUCUGCUGUGAAAAUCCGGGGCUCAACCCCGGACUUGCAGUGGGUACGGGCAGACUAGAGUGUGGUAGGGGGAGACUGGAAUUCCUGGUGUAGCGGUGAAAUGCGCAGAUAUCAGGAGGAACACCGAUGGCGAAGGCAGGUCUCUGGGCCACUACUGACGCUGAGAAAGCGGAAAGCAUGGGGAGCGAACAGG